GACGAACGCUGGCGGCGUGCUUAACACAUGCAAGUCGAACGGUAAGGCCCUUCGGGGUACACGAGUGGCGAACGGGUGAGUAACACGUGGGUGAUCUGCCCUGCACUUCGGGAUAAGCCUGGGAAACUGGGUCUAAUACCGGAUAGGACUCCGGACUGCAUGGUCUGGGGUGGAAAGCUUUUGCGGUGUGGGAUGGGCCCGCGGCCUAUCAGCUUGUUGGUGGGGUGAUGGCCUACCAAGGCGACGACGGGUAGCCGGCCUGAGAGGGUGACCGGGCACACUGGGACUGGGAUACGGCCCAGACGCCUACGGGAGGCAGCAGUGGGGAAUAUUGCACAAUGGGCGCAAGCCUGAUGCAGCGACGCCGCGUGAGGGAUGACGGCCUUCGGGUUGUAAACCUCUUUCAGCAUCGACGAAGCGAAAGUGACGGUAGGUGCAGAAGAAGGACCGGCCAACUACGUGCCAGCAGCCGCCGUAA
rnacentral:rRNA from 1 species